ACAGUCACACAUUAGAUACCCCUGUAGUCCCAGCCGUAAACUAUGCGCGUUAGGUGUAUCGGUGACCACGAGUCACCGAGGUGCCGAAGGGAAACCGUGAAACGUGCCGCCUGGGAAGUACGGUCGCAAGGCUGAAACUUAAAGGAAUUGGCGGGGAGCACCACAACGGGUGGAGCCUGCGGUUUAAUUGGACUCAACGCCGGGAAGCUCACCGGAUAAGACAGCGGAAUGAUUGCCGGGCUGAAGACUCUGCAUGACUAGCUG
rnacentral:rRNA from 1 species